rnacentral:rRNA from 1 species
AUGGUACCAACUACAUUGAGUUUGUUGGCUUCAUGCGCAUUCAUAUGCGUGGCCUUCGUCUCUGGGGCGUUCUUUCUGGCGAGGUCCCCAGUCCGCCGUGUCCGGUUCCUCCUGUGGUUCCUACUCCGCCGACGCCACCGGUUCUUGCUGCCGACGCUGAUUAGGCUGCUAAGGAUGCAACUAAGCUGGCUGAUGACGCUGCCGUUUGUGCUUAUGAUGAGCAGGUUCAGACCUAUGAGGACGCACUUUAGACUUAUCAUGCAAAUUUGUCUGCUUACACUCAGUGGCUUGAUGAUGAUGCUCGUGCCGCAGCUGUUCUCACUGCUAGUGUUCUGCCUCAGUUUGCCUCUGAGUUUCUCGGCCUCUCUACUGUAUUUGAGAUGUGGACUCGCCUUCGUCAGCGCUAUCAGCCCUCUGGUGAUGCCUUAUACCUGUCUGUGGUUCGUCAGGAGCAUGCUCUUCAGCAGGGUGACUCCACUGUUGAUGAGUUCUAUGCACAGAGUUCUGCUAUCUGGCGUCAGCUUGAUUCUCUCUGCACUGCUGGUUGUCGUACUUGUACGUGUUGCCAGGCUAUGCGGGUUGAUUUGGAGUUUCAUCGUGUCUACGAGUUCUUGUCUCGACUCCGUAAGGAGUUUGAGCCCCAGCGCGCUCAGUUGUUUGCUCGUGGUCGUAUCUCCCUCAUGGAGGCGCUUUCUGAGAUCCGUGCUGAGGAGACUCGCCUCCGUGGCGCUGGUUUACUUGAGGUUCCCUCUGUGCUUGCUGCUCGAGUUCCUGCUAUGCCGCCUGCUGCACCGACUCCUUCUCGCUCAAGUGCUCCGCCGCUCUUGCCUACUCCUACGGGCGGCCAGGGUCGGUCUCGUCCUCACCGCGGCUACUGCAAUAUGGAUGGUCAUGUUGAGUCUCAGUGCUUCCAGAAGAAGAAACACCUGCGUAAGGCGCGAUCAUCAGCUUCAGGACUUUGGUGUUUCUGUUACUACACCUACUCUGCUCUUAUCUGACAUUACAGGUGCUAUUAGCAUUGCGCGCGAUCCUGUGAAGCAUGAGCUCACCAAGCAUAUUGGUGUUGAUGCUUUCUAUGUGCGCGCUGGUGUGCAGGAUCAGGUUAUUGCUCUUCAGUAUGUGCCUUCCGAGUUACAGUUGGCGGAUUUUCUGACGAAGGCCCAGACUAGAGCGCAGCAUGGCUUCUAUCUCUCCAAACUUAGUGUUGUUAAUCCACCAUGA